UACGUAGGGUGCGAGCGUUAAUCGGAAUUACUGGGCGUAAAGCGUGCGCAGGCGGUGAGUUAAGUCUGAUGUGAAAGCCCCGGGCUCAACCUGGGAAUGGCAUUGGAAACUGGCUCGCUGGAGUGUGGCAGAGGGGGGUGGAAUUCCGCGUGUAGCAGUGAAAUGCGUAGAGAUGCGGAGGAACACCGAUGGCGAAGGCAGCCCCCUGGGCCAACACUGACGCUCAGGCACGAAAGCGUGGGGAGCAAACAGGAUUAGAUACCCUGGUAGUCCACGCCCUAAACGAUGGCAACUGGGUGUUGGGGAAGCGAUUCCUUGGUACCGUAGCUAACGCGUGAAGUUGCCCGCCUGGGGAGUACGGCCGCAAGGUUA
rnacentral:rRNA from 1 species